AGCCAGCUGGUUUAAUGGUUUAAGCAUUGAACUACAACUUUGGAGGCCAGGGUUUGAAUCCCUGCUCAGCCG